UUGGUGGGUUCCGGAGACGGGGGAGGGGCGGGGCCCGCGGGCCGACUGCCGACAGCGAUUGGUGGGCAGCGCUGUCGAUCGCAGGGGAGGAGGCGGAGGCGCGGCGCGGGCCGCAGCCCCGGGAACAGCCUGGGGGCCGGGCGACAGCCGGGCUGGGGGCGGGGCGGCGUGGGCCGGAGGCGCUGGAGGAGGGGAGCGGAAGGUGGGGGAGCGGGGGCGCUGCGGCGGGCGCGCAUGGGGGCGGCCCUUCGCAGAGUCGCGAGUCGCGGCGCCUCUUGGGCGCAGCUCCCGGCGGCGGCGGGGGUCGCGGGCUCGCGCCGGGCGGGGGAAGGUCCCUGGGCGGCCCGAGGCCGGCCGUGUGGGCGCAAGAACGGAUGGAGGGAGGCCGGCGUGCUGUCUCAGGGUCCGGCGUGGACCCGGAGUUUCGGGAGAUCCUGAAACCCCUGGGCGGCGCUGAGGCCCACUCGGGCUCGGCCUGUGGGUGGCCCGCCGGGGGUCAAAGCUGCCCUGCUGUCCGGCGUGCACAUGGACAUCUGCCAAGACUGGCCCAGCGGCGUGUCCCUGGUUCCCGACUGCGGCCGCCCUGUCGUCUCCCUGUCUAGGGUGGCUCCUUAUGUGGGGGGAUCUCCUGGGCCAGGUGUGUCCCCUGGACGUGGCACAGGGACAUGUGAGGUCCCGUCCCCUUGGGUAGCACAUGAGUACAGUUAUCCUCUGCUGCGGCUCACCCUAGAAUGUGCUAGAAUAACCGUGAUAUAACCGGCCAGGCAGAGAGCAGAGCGGGCCAAGGGGCCAGGCUGGCUCCGGUGCCCGGGCGUGUGCAGGUGGACACCCGUGGGGGACAGAGGGUAUUUGGCUACGAGCUCCUGGAGCAAAUGGUAGGGAAUUUUGGGAAGAGGAGUCUGGGGUCUUGGGGAGAGCGAUGCCCAUAGUCCAGGUCCACAGGGCAGCCAGACCGAGAAGCCACAGAAGCACCUGGCCUCUGGCAGGGGCAGGGUGGGCAGUGGGCUGGGGACGCAGUGGGCUGGGGACGCUGGGCCAGUCCCUUCUGCGGUCCCUCCGGGACACAGGCUGCAGCUGGGGCUGGCACUGGGCUCCACAUCUCGAGGAGCCAGGCCACUGCCACGCUUUCAGAUCCCAAAGAAGUGUGGAGUUUCAGAACUGCUUCCCUGGCAGGUCUGGUCGGAAGGUGACGUGACUUUGAGAAAAAUCAUUUUAGUUUUCUAGCUUGAGAAUAUGAUUUACGCCAUCAGGCUUUUCUCUUUCUCUCUCUCAAGAGUUGGAAGAAACAGACAUUUUUGCAGAGGCUCCUGGAAACUUUGGCUGUCGCCUGGAUGUCCCUAUGAAAAGAACAUUCCACCCGUGGGGAAAAACAACUUAAACAGCUUGGGGUGACAUUUAACCUCCACACCGACCAUGUGGCCUUUACAGAGUGCCACUCUGUGGGGACAGAAGCGAGGCCUCAGGGGAGCUCGGGCAGCUCUGCUGUUAAUUCACACCCAGAUUCUGAGACUUUCUCUGCACCGCAGGUGCCAACAGUCCUUUGUGCGGCCUCAGGGGCUGGUGUGUUGGGUUCAGUUGUAAUUUUCCUUCAUUCUUUGGCCUGCAGAGUUCCUGCUGGGAAACGUCAGUGACCUUGAUUCUGCAUCAGGAGAGUAAAAGCCGACACUCUUCCUGCGGGGACACAGGCUCCUUGUUGGAGAGCCGACGUGGGAUUUCAGUGCAGUGUGGCUGGGAAGUUGAGCUGGUAAUUUGCAGGCAGUUGGGACAGGUCUGAUCUGACUGGGAGUGUCAGUCCUAGGACAGCCCUGCGUGGCUUUGCUGGAUGGGCAACCCCCCGUCGUCUGAGGGAGGUAUAGAGGCCGAGGGUGCAGGUGCAUUUGAGUUUAUGCCGAGCUCCGCCUGCAGGAGCAGGGGGCCUGGCAGCUGGGCCCCCUGGUCUGCGGAGAGGAGGCAGGGCGCUGGCCUGGGCCAGUGGGCAGGGACUGAGCAUCGGGGAGCCUUCACUGCCACCUGGUGGACGGCCCAGAAAGGUGAUGGGGACUGGUGGCCCUUGCAGAGAGACGUGGCCCAGGCAAGGCGGGGAUGUGCAGAGCAUCUUCGAGGACAGUCGGGUGGACAGGCUGCAGGAAUGGGUGGGAUGGUGACAGGGACAGGGCAGCCAUGGACUCCGGUCGUGUCAGUCCUCGUGCUUGCCCCUGAGUCUGGGCAGUCGGCCGGUGGCUGCAGCGCUCCGGGUCUGAGGGACGGGAAAUUCUCUGAUGAUGUUCGAGGCCCCACAAAGCCAUAGACCUCCGGGAGCCUGUCCUCCUGGGGCCCAGCGAGGAAGGAAAGGUCAUACUUGUGAGAGAGGAUGGGGUCCCCUCCCCUGACAGCCCUGGCUGUGACCCGUAUCUUCAGAAGCCCCUGUGAGCUCGUGUUUGAAGACUGAGGUGAAGAUCACGUAACAGAGGAAGCGUUUUCGAAGUGUGCAGCUCCGUCCUCAUUACAGGCGUCGAGUGCGUUCACCGCGCCCUGCGCCCACCUCCCCCAUCUGGUUCCGGAGCACUGUCAUCCGCUCGAGGGGAGCCCCGGCCCGCCCGCGGCUGGCGCCUGCUCUCUGCAUCCGUGGGCUUCUCGUCAGUGCGAUCCUACCCCGUGUGAUCUUUUGCGUUUGGCGCAUGUCUUGGGCGUCCGCCGUGUGGCAGCUCCCUGGUCCUCUUCACGGCUGAGUACUAUGCGCCGCGUGCUGUCCGUCCACAGUGGGGCCGCGGGAAGGUCUGCACCUUCGGGGGACCGUGGGCGGUGCUGCCGCCAACCUGCACACGCACCCUUCUGUUGGAACGCUGUUUUCAGGUCCGUGGCGUGUGUCUCCAGGGGUGGGCCUGCUGGGUCACGUGGUGACUCUAUGUUUAGCUUUUUGAGGAACCACCCAGCUGUUCCUCCUAGUGACUCACGAUCCACAUCCCCACCAGCACCACGCAAGGGCUCGGAUUUCUCCACUUCCUCACCGGCUUUGUGAUUUGUUUUUUGGGUCUGGCCAUCCUGGUGGAUGGGAGGUGAUGUCCCAGUGUGGUUUUGAUUUGCAUUUCCCUGAAGCCUCGUGACAGGGGGCACCUUGGCACGUGUGUGGCGCUUUCCUUGGAGGAGCCAGACUUCUCUAGAAUUUCGUUAUCUCAGAACUCCAUCAGGGAAGUGAGCCCUGGAGGCCAGACAGCCGCUCUCAGAGGCUUCUGACCAAAACUCGGCCCCCGUCCGCCCAGCUACCGAAGGGACUCCCUGGACCCAGUUCAGCUGCGUCCUGCAGCCCAGGCAGAGCCCCAGAAGCAGCAGGGACCACGGGCCACUCUGUGAGUUGAGCAAUUCCUGGGUGCAUUCCGGAUGGAGCCCCCUGGCCUGAAGACGGUCCCGGGCUGUCCGGCAUCUGAGAUGUCUUCGAGGACCUGCAGCCCCUCCCCUGCCCGGUGCUCUCAGGGAAGAAACAGGGCAGUUGCCCUCAGACGCGCAGAGUGAAUGGAAGUGCUGACCUGUUGCCUGCGGAUGCUUUGGGUGGGAGCCCAGACCAUCUGUGGCCCUGGCAGGACUGGGCUGCCAGGUGGUGUCCGGGAGCCAGGGAGCUGGGCUCCAGCAACCUGCCCAAGGCCUCUGACCACCAGCCCCCGGGACAGGUGGGGUGGGACCAGGCUUCAGCCUUGUCACACAGAGGCCAGGACCUGGGAGGGGCUUUCCCUGGGCCACGAGACCUCCCUCUCCCCACCCAGGGCCCUGGGCCGCUGCAUCUGCAUCCUGGUGGUCAAGAGCCUCAGGCUUGAGCAGCAUCGGGCUUUGUCAGGAGAUCGGGUAGGUGACUGGGGACCUGGAGAGCUACCUGGUCCAUCUAGCGGCCCCCGACCCCGGGGUCACGCUGCCGCACCACGGCCCUCCCGGCCUGCCCAGACGCCUCCCACCCCGGGCCCGGCCCUCCUGUCCUCUGGCGGGCCAUCUUGCCCAACUGUGGUGAGGAACCCGGAGCCGGGAAGGGGGAUCUGACGGUGCACACACAUGGUCUUCGGCAGAGGGUUUAAGCCGUGGGAGCCACUGGAGGCCUCUUUCUCCUUGCCGUACGCCCAGGCCCUUCGAAGGCUGUGUAUCGAAGGGGGCCUGCCGGAAGCUUCCUCACGGCGCCCCCCCCCCCCCAAGAGCUGCCAAUAUCGAAGGCCCGUGAUUCAGAUUUUCUCAAAGCAGGCGCAAGCAACGCUUCCGACGGCUCUCAGAUGCUCCAACAGGGCAAGCUCUGUAUUUUGUCCUUUUCCUAUUUUGUAGCGGGCACCCUGGCCUGGCACCUGCUACUCCAUCCUAGGCAGUGGAAGUCUGUUUCCCGAGUCUAAAAUUCUAAUUUGCUUCCAGUAGUUCAUUGCUAGUAAAUAGAAAUAUGUAUGGAAUUUUAUACAGUGACCUGGUAGUCCAUAAGCUCACUAACCUGCUGGUUAGUUCUCACAGAUUUCCUGUAGAUUCCUUCGGGUUUUUGUUUUUGUUUUUUUUAAAGAUUUUAUCCAUUUAUUUGACAGCGAGAGCAGGAACACAAGCAGGGGGAGUGGGAGAGGGAGAAGCAGGCUUCCUGCUGAGCAGGGAGCCCGACGUGGGGCUUGAUCCCAGGACUCUGGGAUCAUGACCCGAGCUGAAGGCAGACGCCCAACGACUGGGCCACCCAGGCGCCCCAUCCUUCGGGGUUUUCUACGUACAUAGUCACAUUGCCACAACUAGAAACUUAUCUUUCUUCCUUCCCAACGUGUGUGCAUUUGAUUUCUCUCCUGAUGCUGCUGACUAGGACCCCCAAUGAGAUGUUGAAUAGAAGUGACCAGAGGAGUCCCCUUGCCUGGUUCCCCGUCUUAUGGGGGAAGAGCAUUCAGCCCUUUGCCAUUAAGCAUUCUGUUAGCUGUAGGGUUUUGCAGAUGCCUUUUAUAAAGAAGUUCCCUCUUUUCCUAGUUUGCAAAGUUUUUUUUAAUGCUAGCUGCUCAAUUUUGUCACAUGCUUUUCUUGCAUCUACUGAGAUGUCAUCAGACUUUUUUUAGUCUGUUGAUAUUGUGAAUUACAUUGAUUGAUAUCUGUAUGUAAUUGAACCUUACAUUUCCAGGAUAAACCCCUACAUUUCUGGGAUAAACCCCAUUUGAUUGAUCCCAGAAUCAAGUUAUUCCAGGAUAAAGAGCCCUUCUUACAUAUUGCUGGAUUAGGUUUGCUCCUGUUUUGCUGAGGAUCUUGUGUCUGUGUUCAUGCUGGAUGCUGGUAGAGUACGUUGAGAAGCACUCCCUCAUCGGCUUUCCCUGAGUUCGUGCAAAAUUGCUAUGAUGUCUCCCCUUGGUGUCUAGCGGGACUGCAUUUCUUUAGCAGACACGAGUGCGCGCCCCAUCCGGGCAGCCUUGACGAGCUGCCUGGUGUGUGGUUUUCAAGGAAUUGGUCCCUUUCUUCUAGAUUGAUGAAUUCACAGGCAUAAAACUAAUAUUUCCUUAAUAUACUUUUACUGUUUACAGGGUCUCUAGUGAUGGUUCCCUUUCAUUCCCGAUGUUGUAAUUUGUGCCUCCUUUGUCCUGGUCAGUCUGGCUCAGGCUCAUCAAAUUGACUGAGCUUGGGGCGCCUGGGUGGCUCAGUUGGUUAAGCAACUGCCUUCGGCUCAGGUCAUGAUCCUGGAGUCCCGGGAUCGAGUCCCACAUCGGGCUCCCUGCUCGGCGGGGAGUCUGCUUCUCCCUCUGAUCCUCCCCUUCUCAUGCUUUCUGUCUCCCAUUCUCUCUCAGAUAAAUAAAUAAAAUCUUAAAAAAAAAAAAAAAUUGACUGAGCUUGCCAAAUAACUGCGUUUUGCUGUCACUGAUUUUUCUUUCAUGUUUUUGUCUUCAUUGAUUUCUGCUGUUAUUUCUUUUGUUCUGAUUACCUUGGAUUUAAUUUGCCCCUUUUCUAAUUAAUUAAGGUGAAAGUUUAGCUCAUUGAUUAGAAACUUUCCUUUUAAAAAAAUAUGCAUUUAGUAUUAUGAAUUUCCCUCAGAGGAAAAGUGCUACUUUAGCUAUAGUCCACAAAUGUUAAUGUUUUAAUUUUCAUUCACUUAAAAAAUAUUUUCUAACUUCUCUUGUGAAUUCCUCUUUACCCCAUUGUUUAAUAUCUGUGGAUCUUUCAGAGACCUGUCAUUGAUUUCCAGUCAUUACUUUAUGGUCUGAGAACAUACUUUGUAGGAUUUCAAUUUUUUUUUUUUAAAUUUUGUUCAGGUUUACGGGAUGGCCCAGAACACGGUGCAUGUUGGUGAGCGUUCUGUGUUGCGUGAACAGAAUGUGCGCUCUGCAGUGGGUGAGUCGGUCCGGCUGGUCUCCAUCCUCAUCCUGGAAGCCUUGCUGCCUCGUGUCCAGCCUCCAAGAGAUGGUCCGUCCUUUGGUUCUGCCGCUUGUGCGUUGAAGUGCUGUGGUUCUAUGGGUACUCGGACUGCAAUGUCUGCCUUUGUCACAUAACGUCCCCCCCCCCCCCCCCGUCUCGGCGAUAUUCGUCUUGAAAUCCACGCUGUCUGAUGCUGACGUGACCACUGCAGCUUUCCCCGGAUUCGCAUCUCCCAAGAUACAUUUUCCCCAUCUUUUUAUUUUUUUCCUGUCUUUAUAUUAAAGUGGGCUUCUGAGACAUGGCA